UACGGAGGGUGCAAGCGUUAUCCGGAUUCACUGGGUUUAAAGCGUGUGUAGGCGGGCCCGUAAGUGUCUUGUGAAAUCCCACGGCUCAACCGUGGAACUGCUGGGCAUACUGCGGGUCUUGGGCCAACUAGGGGCAGCCGGAACAAGCGGUGGAGCGGUGAAAUGCGUAGAUAUCGCUUGGAACGCCGAAGGUGAAAACAGGCUGCUGGGGUUGCGCCGACGCUGAGACACGAAAGCCAGGGGAGCAAACGGG
rnacentral:rRNA from 1 species